GACUCUCGGCAACGGAUAUCUCGGCUCUCGCAUCGAUGAAGAACGUAGCGAAAUGCGAUACCUGGUGUGAAUUGCAGAAUCCCGCGAACCAUCCAGUCUUUGAACACAAGUUGCGCCCGAGGCCACUCGGCCGAGGGCAUAAUUGUAACGGCGGGG
rnacentral:rRNA from 1 species